UCCUCCUCCUCCACCCGCGGCCGCGAAGACAUCGCUUCUCCUCCUCGCACGCUCAUCCUCCUCCCCGCAUGUACUGAAGCCGCAUCCUCGCAGGAGCUCCUCCCCGCUGCCGCCGCUCCACUGAAAACUCGCCGAAGCCGCCGCCACUGCCACUACCUCCGUCGGAUCCUGCUUCUUCCCCCAUCGCCGCAGCCGUCCUCCUCGCUCGCUCCUCCUCCUCCCCGUGUGAUUUAAGCCGCAUCCUCGCCGGAGCUCCUCCACGCUGCCGCCGCUCCGCCGCAUCCUAACCGGAGCAGCCGCCGCCGAAUCCUACUUCUUCAUCACCGCCGUGGCCGGAGCCGAUCUCGGCCCCUUCCGCCGCCACCGACACCGCCGUGCACUCCACCGCUGGCCAGCACCGAGGUCGGCCCUCUUCCCCAUCUGCCACUUCAUCAUCAGAUCACCAAUGUUUGCCCCAUUGUUGAAAGCCUAUAGUACGAGUAAGUCCCUCAAAUCCUGUUUCUUUUCUUAAUCUUCUCCGUACGUGUGGAAAUUUUGAUCUCUAUGUCUGAUGAUCUUUGUUCUUGAGCCUUGGCUAUGUUGGAUAAAUAUUCAAGAAACCUAGAUAGUGACUGCUGAUACGAUUCCUGUUAUGUCCUGUCUGAUGCUGAAUCACGAGGGAUUCUCCAAGAGGACGGGAAGCUGUCAAACAGCACCAGGCAGUCAAGUUGUAGAGAUGGUGAAAAGUAUGGAGAAGCUGCAGUCAAGUUGCUUGCUGCUAAGUUAGGACUAACAGGUGAUUUUUCAUCUGAAUACCAAUCCAGAAAUAAUUGAGGCAAAGAAUCAUGCCUUUCUUCUACGCAAAAAUGAUCAAUGGGUGCUUGCUGAUAAAAGAAUGCAUAUAAAUAACAAAUGGUGGAGGCGGAUAAGGAGGCUGGUCAAGUCUAGCCUCCUACAACUAUGUCACUGCAGUACAACAUCAAAAAAGGAGAUUAUGAUAUCUGAAAACUACAAUCGUGAAAUUUGAAAAAUAAAGUGCAUCAAGUUUGCCAUGGAGAUGGCAACUACCAACCCAUAGUCAUGCGGACAUCAAGAAACAUCAUAGGAGCACCUCACCAUCACAUGGCUAUGAGCAAGAGGGGUCUGCUAGAGUAAUCCACUGAACUUUGUUGAACUUAUAAUUUUCAUCUGCAAGCUCUGGUUAUCUAAUUGCUUUGAAUUUCUUAUCAUCAUUCAAUAAACCAGCUGUUGUGAAUUCCCAAAACAAAGCUGGAUGCGCUAGACACCAUCUGAAGUUGGUCCAUGGCAACUCAAUUUCUUCUAGCAAAUACAGUAUUAUGAACAACAACUUUUCAUGAUUCUAACCUCCAAUAAUCUGAAGUUCCCAGUUUGAUUAUAUAAUCUAGGAACCAAAUCAUGAAGCUGGCGACAUUGGUAAGAGGUAAUGGUCUAUAUUAAUCUAUAUUGAGCUACGGUUUGUAUUUUGUUAUAGGGGUAAAUUAUGAUGUCCUUUUAUAGGAGAAAAGUUUAGUUGGUCAAUGGCAGGAUCAUCUCAGCAGUAAGCCAGUAAACAUACUAAUGAAUCUGAAAAAAUUCCAUAUAAAAAACAUUGCAGAGUAAUUUUUGGAAUGUUUCACGUCCAAUCUGUAUUCCCCCUUUAUUCUUCUCAUAAAUUAUCUUAUGAUGAGACAUUGGCCUUUUUAUUUAAGAUCAAAUUUAUGAGGCUAUUCAAUUGUGGCCUUAUUUUUGCCAUAUAUAUAGGACAGCCAUAUGGGGCACCAUGGUGUGUGCGUGUGCUGGUGAUGCACCAUGGUGUGUGCAUGUGCUGGUGAUUGUUCUUCUCCAGCUGCAUUAUGCAUCUCUUUUCAAAUCUUAUGAUAGGUGCUUGUGAUGCCAUCCAGCAAAACCACUGGUUAUUUUGCUGGUAUACUGAUAUUAGGCCCAUAAAUGAAUGUUUUUUUUUGCUUUUUACAUUCUUUGGUGAUGAAGUUUGCAAUCUAUGACAUUAGAAAAAAGGUAUGGUGAUUGUUUCUAUUUUUCAGUAUGUGAUUUUUCCAAUGUUUUUCAAUAUGCCUAUUUUUUACACAUCUAUACUCCUUAUGCAUUAUGCAUCUCUCAAUAGUUGAGAGCCUUAUUUUAUUUUCCUUGCAGGAAAUGCUGUUGAUCAAUUUAAUUUUGUAUUACGCUACUGUAAGAUGGCUUGAUAGGAGUUUUGCAAUACAUACUGCACUACUGUAGGCACUGGCACAGUUUGAGAGCACAACAUAUAGAGUUUCCUUAUUCAACACAAAGGCCAUAUCGUUUCAUUCAACAAAUGGGCUAAUAAUGCCAUUACAUUUGACGCAUGCCACUACAUUUCAGAACACAAAUUCAGCCAUUUGUUUCAGAACACUACAUUCCUGAACAAAGCAUACAUAUUUGUUUUGUGGUUUACAAUGUGAUGUUUAUAUCACAGGCUUUGUGUACUUGAUGCUGGAAAACAUUUAUGACUUUAUAUAUACUUCCUCAAACAAUUUAAGAUUCUCUUUCUUGAUUUGUUUCUGCAUGUAAUGGUGAGUUUUCUGAUUACUAAUAACUGUCAUAUGGCUUCAUUUAUAUUCGACCCUAUGGCAAUGUCGGAGCUAACCGGGUUUGAUUAUUUGUGAUCACCUCAAGUGUUGCUGCUUAAGCCAAAGGAAGAGGAAAAACUUUUAUAUAAGCAUUUCAUUUCAUAUAGGUUCCCACAUCUUUUCUAGGUACUAUUGACACUCUAGAAAAGAUUGGAUGGCCUUCUAGGUAACAUUGAUACUCCUGUCCAAAAGGUGUUUGACGAAUUUGGAAGGCCUUCGCUGAUUGCUAAAUAUUUGGAAGGCCUUCGUUGUUUGCUGAAGAUAGACCAAACCUGUUUACUUAAACAAGAAAUAGAUGGUUGUGGGGGAACAUUCAUCUUUACAUUCUUUAGCUUUCCCUAAUUUUUCAGUAUCUUGUAGUACAUGAAAUUGCAAUUCCUUUUACUUACUAGAAAGUAAAUGUCAUGCAUUUGCAACUUUGUUAUACAACAAAUAUAUCAAUAGGGGUUUGUGAGCAAUGUUUUGAAAAUUAGAUUAUAUCAUGUAAGGAUUUCAUAUCUUUUUUUACCAAGACUAUCUUACGAGUUUUUAGCCUGUAUUUUGUGUUCAAAUCUUGAUGUUUUCAUGCAGUCAAUCUUGACAAGAAUGCCACCAUCCUUUUCUUUUUUGCCAUGGAUUUCAUUGUUAUGCUGUAAUCUGGUGUGGAAUAUAGGAAUGGCUACUUUGUACAUUAUGAAUAUACAUGUACCUUUGUUGGCUAGAAAGUAGUGUGAUUCAACACAAAGGAUUUUAUAGUAAUCAUCCAAAUUGUCAUUUUACUAUGGUGUAUGAAACUCUAUUUUUACCUCAA